rnacentral:rRNA from 1 species
CCCUUAGAUGUCCAGGGCUGCACGCGCGCUACACUGAAGGAAUCAGCGUGCUAAAACCAUUGUCGAAAGGCAUUGGUAAACCCAUUAAAAUCCUACGUGAUUGGGAUCGGGAAUUGCAAUUAUUUCCCUUGAACGAGGAAUUCCCAGUAAGUGUGGGUCAUAAGCUCGCGUUGAUUACGUCCCUGCCCUUUGUACACACCGCCCGUCGCUGCCCGGGACUGAGCCGUUUCGAGAAAAGCGGGGACUGCUGCUGUCGGGGCUUUCGGGCCUUGGCUUCGGUGGAAACCGCUUUAAUCGCAGUGGCUUGAACCGGGCAAAANUCGUANCA